UUCCUCAGCUGUCAAAUAUAAUGGAUACACCUGUUUACAUUCUGGGAUUUUAUGUUUUCUAAAACCAUAAUAACAAAAUGCAUGUUCUAGCAAUAGAAAAGAUAAUACUGUUUACAAGUGAAUUUUCAUUCGAUAUUUUGUUGAAACAGAUGUGGGAUAUUAGGGAGAUUUUUAUAAAUGCUUGGAAACUAACAACUUGUCUUGUAACUUCUAGAGGUGAGUGAUGACUAUUUGACAAAGAAGAUCAUUAUUUCUCUUAUCAAGCGAUAUUAGGAAUGAUAUUAAACCUAAAAAAAAGACGCCAAUGUGCAUAGCGAUUACUAUCAUAAGAAUUACAAAAGCCAUCAAAAUAAUAACCAGAUAAAUUCAAAUUGUCUUGUUAUUUUUCUAAAAUCGUGUUUCAGACUUUUGUCAUAAUUAUGAAGAUUGAAAUGCAAUUCCUUUUAUUUGUCCGUAAUUUGACAAGCUUGUCGGUAUGGACUGUCUUAUUAAUGAAAUAGCCGAUAGGCGGAGUAAACUGUCACCCAUUUUACCAGUUGAGAUUGCUUAGGGUUUUUUUUUUUAAAUAAAUUUCUAUAAAUUAUAAUUCUUAUUAUUAACGGAGAGUUCGUUUUUUAACAUUCUAGACUGAUUUAAUUAUCUCAAUAAAAAUAAAACACAAUUGCAUCUUGUUUUUUUGGAAAGAACUUUGACGUUUAAUUUGUAAAAAUAAAAAUAGGUUGAAUUAGUCAAAAAAAAAUGUUUGGUUACUUUGAAUAACGGUUUAGCAGGAAAACAGUAACAUUUAUAUAUAAUAUAUAAAGAAGAAUAGCUGUGUCACACAAAUCGUGCAUAUUUUGGUGGUUGGUUGCACCCGGAUAUUUUCUCAUUCCUAAGUUGGACUGCAUGAAUUGCCUAGCUCACUCCUUGGGGUAAACGAAGAUUUUGGAAGAUGACAACUUAAAUCUGCAACAAGUAUAAUAUUUCAAUAAAUAUCAAAUAAUUUGUUUACAUAAGAAAUGAGAGGUGUAAAAUAUACCAUGGCGUUUUUAUGUUAUGAAUAUAUUUCGCGUUUUAACUUUGAAAAGAUGCAUAUUCUGACAUGAAUUUAUUUGAACUUAAAAAGUUUGAAGUGAACAGAUGUAACUACUGAGGAACAACAGUAAUUUUGAGUCAAAUUUUAAGGCCCACAUUAACAAUUAUAUUGAAAUUUGUAUUCUUUAACAUCAAACUAACCUCCUAAAGAACAGAAUUUUCUGUAUUCCUGAACCAACUCUUUUGUUUAAAAAAUAUGUUGAAUUUCCAGCGUUCAAAACAAGUUAAAAAAAAAAAGAAUAUGUUGCUAUUUACUGAGAAAAAGAUAGGACAGGACAGGAGUGAAAUUUUCCAGUAAAAAUAGCAGUAACAUCGUCCAAUUCUCCGAUGUGAGGAAAUGUAAUACUUUAUUUAUACUUUUUUCAGGAAUUGUCUUGGUAUAAUUUUGUAAAAUUCAUGAUGCGGGUUUACAAAAAAAGUAUCCAUGUAGCUUUUUGGAUUACUUAUUCUAAAAAGUGUUCCUCGAGUACAUUAUUUUCCGUGACUGAUGAGUUCGUGACUUCUAGUGAAAUUCCUCACCAUAAAACAUUAUAAUGUGAUAUAGCAAAUACUUCAAAAUUUAAUACAUUUUAGGUUUAAAAUUCACAAUUAGUAAUAAUGUGAUUUCCUAAAUGUAACUUUGGAAUUAUAGAAUCACAAGACUUUAUAUAACUUGAAAUGACUACUAAGCAAUUCAAUAGCCAAUUUAAGUAUAACUAAACUGUAAAACAAUUAAGAAUAAAAGAUAUGUGCAUUUUACAAAAAGGAAAGAAAUUUCGGUGGUUAUUUAGUUUUUCGUCAGAAAGCUUGUUGCUGUGCCAGUAUUGUCUGAAUUCAAGUCAUUUAAUCAUAGUUCAGGUCCUUUCACACCAUACACAGUCAGUAAUCUUGCACGUUUAUGAAUACUGGCCUUUUACAGAAUUCAAUCAGUAUUUUUCCAGUUCAUUUAUAGCACUGGCUUGUAAUUUUGUAUGUUUUCUAAUAACACCGGGAGAUAAUUUGAGCCUAGCAGAGGACUUCAUUAACAUGACCGUUAAUGAAAACCUUUCUCAAUAUCUAGGCAAAUAGCAAUAUACAUGUCUAACAUUCAUUAAAUGUAUAAACAUCAACGAAAAAUAUUAAAUGUUAACUAGUGAAAAUUGAACGUUAUUCAACAAAUUGCAUACAUUUGAAAUUUAACUGUAAAUAUUAAGUGAAAUUAACCGCGUCAACACGGACGAAAAGUAAUGAAACAGCUUGUCGUCUGCUUUUAUAUUCAGUAAUUAAGGUAAAAUAAUUAUCAUCUGUGAUGAAAAUUAUGGGUUUUAAUAUAAAAAAUUAUCGUCUGUGUUCGGGCAAUACAGUAAGAAGUAAUAAAAAGGUAAUAAUUUUAUAGGCAAUGGAGCAUGCAUGAUAUAAAAUUAAGACAAAGUUAUUAAAUAAAUGUAAAAUUUUAAUCUUGCAGAUUUUACAAAUGUUGCUGUUCCAAUGGCGAGAGAUUGUAACACAAAGUAAUAGAAUAGAAAAAGAAGUCAUACAGUAUAUGGAUUUCUGUCAACUUGAGCAGGAUAGGUGUAUUUCCUUACACGGUUUCUUCGGCACUGACUGUGGUCUAAUUAAAAAAGACAGUGGACUUAAAACACAUAAAUGUCGUUUUUUUUCACCUGGCCACACGACAAUAGAAAAUAUCAGAAACAGAAAUGCUAAUUUAUUCAAAGAUCGAAAGCGACUUGCUAGGAACUCAGCAUAAUUAGCAUAAAGACAAUAAUUGCACUGCAGUGGCUAUUUCGACCAUUUGACAACCACCAUUGGACUUGACCACAUCAGAGCUAAAAGAGAUGAAUAUACAAAUACCCUCAUUUUUGAAUAUAAAUAUCUUAUUAUUAUAAAGCACCGUAAGCCUAGCGUGUGUGGAGUUAUUACAAGACUGAAUUGUGAUUCCAUGCAUGUCCGACGUAGCAAAGGACACGUGUUGCAGGCACCAAGAGACUGCUUUUGUUCAAUUAUAGGUCGGUAAUGACGCAGAAUAUAGUUGUAGGAAGAAUAAUUAUAUAUAACGAGAGUGGUUCAGUCGAAAAUAACUUUGUAUUGUUAUACAUAACACACAAUAAUAUCAUGAUACUUUGAAGGAUUUUUUUUUAUCCCCGCAUGUUGUGUUUUCAAUUAAAAACUAUAAAAGAGUUUCCACCUAAAUAAAAUUUCUAGC
rnacentral:lncRNA from 1 species